UUUCAAUAAAAAUAAUAAAUACAUCUUUAAGAAAGAAAAAGGAAGGAAAAAAAAAAGCUGGGAGUAGAUGAUUUCAACUUAGCCAGCCUUACCACCUUUGUGCUGGCCUGUUUUUUGUUGCUGUCACUGUCACAAACCAGGGUGGCUCAUAAACCAAACAUGGUCAUUUGCUGCAGUGUUGGUGGCCUGGAGGUCAAAGGUCAGAGGAUGGAGUCUGGUGGAAGGGGGAUCUGUCCUUGGCCAAGGACAAGCCUGGGGCAGCUCGGACAGCUCUCUGCAAAGAGUGUAUUGACUAUUUCUUUAACAGGCAGAAUGACAGACACCGUGUCUCUGCUGGUUCACUCCCCCAAGUCCCCCAGUAGUCAGGGCUGGGCUGAGACCAGAGCCCACGGGCUGGGCCUCACCCAGCUCCAGCCAUUGGACACCAUUUGGAGAAUAGAUGUACAGACGGGAAAAUCUUUCUCUGUCUCUCUCUUUUUGUAACUCUGCUUUUCAGAUAAAUAAAACAGUGAAACACUGAAUGACCCUCUGACCCUGCCAUUCCACUGCUGGGGCUCUCCAUAGGAGAAUGGAAUAUUUGUAUACCAGGGCUUGCUGCAUCACCGCAGAAACUUAGCAGAUGAACGCAUGAGCAAAACGCGGUCGGCCCCUGCGGUGACAGGAUUACUCCCCUGUCCUGGGAGAUGCUCGGACCUGGACUUCCCAGUAUGGUAGCCACCAAGCACUGGCCACGGCUGAGCUCCUGCCAUCGGCUAGGCCACCUAGAGCUGAAUCUAAGCACAGCAUACCUGGCAGAGAAACAACGGCAUAGAGAAUAUUCUAUUGUCUGGUUCAAUUCCCAGGCUAAAGCUGGGAGCUUGAAUUCAGUCUGAGUCUCCCACGGGAGUAGCAGAGCCUCAAGCAGUUAAGCCAUCGCUUGCUGGUCCUCAGGGCGCGCAUGAGCAGGAAGGUGGAAUCGGAAGCCAAGCUGGAAUCGAACUGAGGCAUUGUGAUACAGGCUGUGGGUGUCCCAAGCCAUGGCUUAACCACAGCAUCAAACACAGGCUCUAACAGGUGUCAAGGUUGAGGCAGUUGCCCUAGGCAGACCCUAGGAAGACCCAAGGCUAGAU